AUUGAACGCUGGCGGCAGGCCUAACACAUGCAAGUCGAACGAGUGGCGGACGGGUGAGUAAUGUCUGGGAAACUGCCUGACGGACGCGGAUAACUACUGGAAACGGUAGCUAAUACCGCAUACCACCAGAUCUGCUCAGAGGGGUUUAGCUUGUUGGUGGGGUAACGGCUCACCAAGGCGACGAUCCAUAUCUGGUCUGAGAGGAUGACCAGCCACACUGGAACUGAGACACGGUCCAGACUCCUACGGGAGGCAGGAGUGGGGAAUAUUGCACAAUGGACGCAAGCCUGAGGCAGCAAUGCCGCGUGUAUGAAGAAGGCCUUCGGGUUGUAAAAUUCUUUCGGCGGAGAAGCGUUACCCAAAGGGAAAGCACCGGCUAACUCCGUGCCAGCAGCCGCGGUAAUUC
rnacentral:rRNA from 1 species